UAAAUAAUACAGGAAAAAGAGAGAGAUUUUCACUCUCCAAGUCCAAGCCCGCUUCUUUCACUUCAAAACCCUAUCUCAAGAUCUCCCUGUUUUAUUCUCUGGGCUAUUUAAACAAACAGAGAACAAACAAAACAAAAAAAUAAAAAAACACAAAAACCUCAUAAACCAAAACUUCCACACACACGUCCCUCUGCUUUUAUGUCUUUCUUGAAGUAAUUGUAAACCACCACCACCACCAACCAGAAAAAAACCCUAAGAAAACCACCAUGGAUACUCAUGAGAUAACUAACAUACUGCUAACUAAACUCAAGAGUUUAGAUCCAGAAAACGCUGCUAGAAUUAUGGGUUUUAUUCUCAUACAAGUCCCUUCCGAAAAAGAUUUGUUACGUUUAGCCUUUGGCCCUGAAACCCUUUUGCAAAAUGUAGUCUUUAAGGCCAAAAUCCACUUUGGACUCUCUACAAACACGUUUUCUACACCUUCUACACCAUCUUCUCCGUUGCCUCUCAAUCCCAUAGCAAGGCCUUGUAAUAGCACUAACCCCUUUUCACUAUCGUCUCCAAGAGUCACAAAUAAUGAUUCUUUCCUUGAUUUUGGAAAAAACCCGCCUCCAAAUCCCUGGCCUGUUCAUGGGUUGCCAAAUAAUAGUAACAGUAACACUUCAAUUAGCCCAAAGUCCAGUCCUUUUUUGUCCUAUGAUAAUAUACGUUCUGGGUCUGUUUUAGUGCCACCAUUCUCGAGGAAUGGUGGUAAUGACUGUGGUGAUUGCAGUAAUAAUAGUGUUGACUUCCCUGAUGAGUAUCAAUUAGAUGAUUAUCUUUCGUUUCUUGAUGACCCCUCUUCAAAAAAUGAGGGCUUUAUGGACCAAAGGGUUCAAUUGGGUGGUUAUCCGGUUGAUAAUGGAGAUAGCCAUUUGCAUAGAAGGAGAUUUUCAGAGAGUGAUGCGUGUUUUGGUGCUGAAGAUGGGGGGUUUGGUCUUGGGUAUAAGCCUUGUCUGUAUUUUGCUAGAGGGUUUUGCAAGAAUGGAGAAAGUUGCAAGUUUGUUCAUGGUGGUGAAAAUAUGGCUGAGGUUAAUGGUGGUGGUGUUCUUGUGGGUUCACCAAGGGAAAUGGAGGAACUUUAUUUGCAGCAGCAAGAGGAGUUGAUGAGAAUGAAGGCUGCACAGCAGCAGCAGCAGCAAAGGAUGGCUUAUAACAAGUACAUGAAUUUUCUGUUGCAGCAACAGAAUAAAACCGAUAGAUUGGGGGCAGCAGCAGCAAUGAUGGGUGACGAAUUUUACAAUUUCAGUCGGCUUCGUGGUGGAAGGAAUGGCUUUUUUGCAAUGGGAAUGGCUGAAAAGGCAAAUUCAGCAUCCAGACAGAUAUACUUGACAUUCCCGGCUGACAGCUCUUUCAAAGAUGAAGAUGUUUCGAAUUAUUUCUGUUCUUUUGGACCAGUUCAAGAUGUUAGGAUUCCAUACCAGCAGAAGCGGAUGUUUGGAUUUGUUACAUUUGUCCACCCAGAGACUGUGAAGGAAAUAUUGGCAAAGGGAAAUCCUCAUUAUAUCUGCGAGUCACGUGUGCUUGUCAAGCCAUACAAAGAGAAAGGAAAAGUAGCAAACAAGAUGCAACAGUUACUUGAGAGGGGGAAUUUUUCACCUACUUCAAGCCCUUCAGGUUUUGAUCCUAGAGAGCUACGUGAUAUUCACCUUGGAGCAAGAAUGCUUUACAAUACACCUGAAAUUAUGCUGAGAAGGAAAUUGGAGGAGCAGGCAGAGCUGCAGCAAGCUAUUGAACUCCAGGGAAGAAGGUUAAUUAAUCUGCAACUUCCAGACUUGAGGGGAGAUUAUGUACAUCGUCACCAGCGUAGUCUGUCUGUUGGUGCUCCCAUUUCCCUGCACACUCAUCAUUCUCCCAUCAAUCAAACUGACAUUCUUACCUCCAAUGGCAAGAACGAGAUCACAUUAGAAGACGAAGGGAAUUUAUCAGGUGCCACUAAAUCUACUUAUAUUGCUGCCAUUGAACAGAAUCUUCAGGAUGAAUUGAACGCAGCUUACAUUCAGAACAAUGACAAUGUUAAUUGCAAGGUGGAGAGCUUCACUGAAAGCCAUGGAAGCAACGUGGAACCCGAUAACCUCACAAAAUCAUCUGAGAAUCAGCACUCUGACUUGUUCCCUUAUGCCAAAGCUAAAGAAAGCAAUGAGUUAUCUGUCUCUUCAUGGUCUGAAAAUGAUGCAUCAGUGCCCACCACUUCUACUAGUGACGAGGCUUCUUAUUGAGUUCCAAUGCCAAGGUAAUAAAGGUUAGUGUGGUCAAAGAGACCAACUUUACUAGGAAAAAUAGAGAAGCACAUAGAAGGAACUGUAGAUGUAUAGCCUAUAUGAUACCUGCACUUAAUGGUAGAAUCGCAGAGAUUACCUCAGCUAGAUAGCCAUCCUUGUCACCAAUACGAUACUACUAACAGCAACUGCAUAUUACAUACGUAGUGGACAGACAAACUAGUUUUAGUAGGGUUUUCUCUUUUUUGCUACUUGCCCUUUUGUAGGUCGUGUGCAGGACCACAGACUAUAUAGCUGGACUUUUAAAUAUCAUGCCUCUUUGUUAUAAUGACAAUUAUACAUGUUUACAAUCGUUUA